AAUCCUGGCUCAGGAUGAACGCUAGCGACAGGCCUAACACAUGCAAGUCGAGGGGCAGCACAGGUAGCAAUACCGGGUGGCGACCGGCGCACGGGUGAGUAACGCGUAUGCAACUUACCUAUCAGAGGGGGAUAACCCGGCGAAAGUCGGACUAAUACCGCAUGAAGCAGGGGUCCCGCAUGGGGAUAUUUGCUAAAGAUUCAUCGCUGAUAGAUAGGCAUGCGUUCCAUUAGGCAG
rnacentral:rRNA from 1 species